rnacentral:misc_RNA from 1 species
UCUCCGUAGGUGAACCUGCGGAGGGAUCAUUACAGAGUUCAUGCCCUACCGGGUAGAUCUCCCACCCUUAUGUUAUUAUUACUUUGUUGCUUUGGCGGGCCGUUAGGCUCCGGCCCGGCUACCGGCCCCGGCUGGUAAGCGCCCGCCAGAGGACCCAAAACCCUGAAUAUUAGUGUCGUCUGAGUACUAUAUAAUAGUUAAAACUUUCAACAACGGAUCUCUUGGUUCUG